UCCUUCUCCUCAGCAGUUGCCACUGCCAAGGCAACAUACUACCACUCUAAAAUACACAAAUCUAUUGCUAACCCCAGGCAACUGUUUUCAAUUUUCUCCUCUCUCCUCAGUAAACCCUCACCUCCAACUCAGACCUCCCUUACUGCUGAAGACUUCGCAGCCUUCUUCGAAGCAAAGGUCACACUCAUCCGCAGCUCCCUUGACCCUCCCGACUCCCCACCCUUCCCUCCCCCCAUCCCCUCUAUGACCCUCCCCACAUUCUCCACCUUCUCCCCACCUCUCUCCCUGAUGUCUCCCAACUCUUGCUCUCCCACCGUCCCACCACCUGUGCCCUUGAUCCCCUCCCCUCUACCCUCCUCCAGCUGAUCUCACCAGAGAUCAUCCCCUUCAUCGCCCACCUGAUUAACUCCUCCCUGACUUCUGGCACCUUCCCGUCAUCUUUCAAAAGAGCCCACAUCACCCCCAUUCUGAAGAAACCAACACUGGACCCCUGCCUCACCCAGAACUACAGACCGACCCUCAGCAGUCUGGUUUCAGACCCGGUCACUCGACGGAGACUGCCCUGCUCUCCGUCACUGAGUCUCUCCACGCAGCAUCCCGUUCAUCUGUCCUAAUUCUUCUUGACCUCUCAGCUGCCUUCGACACCGUUGACCAUCCUACACUUCUGUCUUCCCUGACAGAAUUGGGAAUUUGCGGACCAGCCCUCAACUGGAUUGCGUCCUAUCUCUCCGGCCGCUCCUUCCAGGUUGCCUGGGCCGGUGCAGUAUCAGCUCCUCGUCCCCUCACAACUGGGGUCCCUCAGGGCUCUGUCCUUGGUCCCCUCCUCUUUUCUCUGUAUACUAGGUCCCUUGGCCCUGUUAUUGCCGCCCAUGGCAUGUCAUAUCAUCUCUAUGCAGAUGAUAUUCAACUUUUCUACUCUUUCUCUCCCACAGACACUCAGGUCUCCGAUCGCAUAUCCGCCUGCCUGAGUGACAUCCAGAGCUGGAUGACCAAACACCAGCUCAAGCUCAACACAAGCAAAACGGAACUUCUCCAUAUUCCUUCUCUUACCUCUCCCACUUCUCAUCUGCCCAUUUCUUUAGGAGACACUCCCCUACACCCUUCGCAGAGUGCCCGAAAUCUUGGAGUUGUGCUGGACAACAGGCUGUCACUCUCUGAGAAUAUCGCGGCAACCACCCGGUCGUGCAGGUUCAUCCUGUACAAUAUCCGCAGAAUAAGACCACUCCUCACCAAUUAUUCCACACAGCUCCUGGUCCAGGCCAUGAUACUGUCACGUCUGGACUACUGCAACUCCCUCCUGGCUGGCCUCCCAGCAUCAGCCACCAGACCCCUUCAGCUCAUCCAGAAUGCAGCAGCACGUCUGGUUUACAACCUCCCUCGUGACUCCCACGUCACUCCCCUCCUCAUCUCCCUCCACUGGCUACCAGUGCAAGCUCGCAUCCGGUUUAAGACACUGGUGCUUGCUUUCCAAGCAGUCAAGGGUCAGCUCCUGGUUAUCUGCAGAAGAUGAUCAGACCCUACAAGCCGGCCAGAUCGCUCCGAUCGGCUACUACAGGGCGGCUGAUUCCUCCCCCAACACGAGCAGCAACAAGGUCUCGACUCUUUGCAGUUCUGGCCCCACGAUGGUGGAACGAUCUUCCAGUGGAGGUCAGAACAGCAGAGUGUCUGAGCACCUUCAAACGGAAACUCAAGACGCACCUCUUCUCUGUGUACCUCUCUCCUCUUCCCUAAACCCCCUCCCAUAACUAUUAAAAAAAAAAAAAAAAAAAAAAAAAAAAUUUUUGGUUCAGACUAUCUUGUUUCUCCUUAAUGUAUGCUACCAUAGUAAAGGCUUUUUAUCUGCAUUUUGUUCAAUGGACUUAAGUGGACUUGAUCCUGAGUUUGGUUACACUGUUGUAAGUCGCUCUGGAUAAGAGCGUCAGCUAAAUGCCUAUAAUGUAAUGUAAUGUAAUGUAAUGUAAUA